UUACCAAACGAAGGCGUCUAGCCUGGAUAGCAGCCGUGAGACGAGUUGAUAUCAAGUUCUGUUACGUCUCCAGAUAUCAGCUGGUGUGCUCACGACAUUUUCAUUCCGGGAAGCCUGCCUAUGAAAUGGAUCAAACAAAUCCAGACCGGGUACCAACGCUACACAUGGGGCACUCCGAAACCCGAACAUCACAUUCAGACCGUCACAGGAGGCGAACACAACGUCAACAAAAUAAAGUACUAUUUGGAGGCUUUGACAAUGGAGCAGCAGAGUGUGAAGGUGAAGCCUCAGCAGAAGUUACCACAGAAGAGCAGCCAGAGAUGGACACCACCGAAGAGCAACACCAUAACAACCUUGUUAUUUUGGCUGAGGGACAAAUUUGUGCUGGACAAGUAGAAGCAGAGGUAACGGGUGCAGAUGCAGAAAACAUUGAUAUCAGAGAGAAACAGACAGAAGAUCAACAACUGACAAAUGAUUGUGUGCGCUGUGUACAGAGCAGAGCAGAAAUAAACCGGCUGCUGGAGGAGAACAGAAAGCUUAAAUCAAAGUUGGACAAGACAGAGCUGAAUGAAAACUUUUUAAAGGGUGACACGGAAAAAGUGAAAUAUUACACCGGUUUUACUUGUUUUGCUAUUUUUAUGUCCGUGCUCGAGAAUGUAAAAGCUUUCCUACCAGCAUCAAAGAAACUGUCACAUUUCCAAAUGCUUUUACUCACACUUAUGCGACUUAGACUUGAUCUUCCUGUUCAGCAUCUUAGUUAUCUAUUCAAAGUCUCCCACAAAACUCUUUCUUCUGUCUUUUCUGAUACAAUUGACGUGUUGUAUGCCCGCUUUGGAAUACUUGUACACUGGCCAGAGAGGCACUGUUUGCAAGCAACAAUGCCACCAGAAUUUACAGACACUUUUGGAAAUCGUGUAGCCAUCAUUGUAGACUGUUUUGAAAUUCGUACAGAACGACCAUCUAAUUUAAAGGCUCGUGCUCAAACGUACUCACACUACAAGGGUACACACACCAUGAAAUAUCUGAUCGGGAUUACUCCACAAGGUGCAAUUUCAUUCAUUUCUAAGGGGUGGGGGGGCCGUCAUCAGAUAAACACAUCACAGAGCAAUGUGGCAUACUUAACAAGCUGUUACCAGGGGAUGUAGUUUUGGCUGACAGAGGCUUUGACAUCAGAGAUGCGGUGGGAAUGAUGUGUGCGGAGGUAAAGAUCCCAGCAUUUACAAGGGGCUUCUGUGAACUAGAUGCCAAGGACAUAGAAAAUACACGAGCCAUUGCACACCUAAGAAUCCAUGUUGAACGAGUAAUUGGCAGUUUGCGCAACAAAUUUAAAAUGCUACAUACUACCAUGCCAAUCCGUUCUCUUCUUCCAUGUGAGGGUGAAGACGUUACAUUCCUUGAUAAAAUUGUGAGGGUGUGUUGUGUUUUGGUUAACAUGUGCCCCAGUGUGGUAGUGAAACCAGGCACACAUGAGACUUGUACUUGUUAA